rnacentral:rRNA from 1 species
AUUGAACGCUGGCGGCAGGCCUAACACAUGCAAGUCGAGCGAGCGGCGGACGGGUGAGUAAUGUAUGGGGACUGCCCGAUAGAGGGGGAUAACUACUGGAAACGGUGGCUAAUACCGCAUACUAUCGGAUAACCCAUAUGGGAUUAGCUAGUAGGUGGGGUAAAGGCUCACCUAGGCGACGAUCUCUAGCUGGUCUGAGAGGAUGAUCAUGCACACGGGGACUGAGAAACGGCCCCGAAUCCUUCGGGGGCAGCAGUGGGGAAUUUUGGAAAAUGGGCGAAAGCCUGAUGCAGCCAAGCCGGGGGUAUGAAGAAGGCCUUAGGGUUGUAAAGUACCUUCCGCGGGGAGGCGGUAACCGCAGAAGAAGCACCGGCUAACUCCGUGCCAGCAGCCGCGGUAAUUC